rnacentral:rRNA from 1 species
UACGGAGGAUCCAAGCGUUAUCCGGAUUUAUUGGGUUUAAAGGGUGCGUAAGGCGGCCUAUUAAGUCAGAGGUGAAAGACGGUAGCUCAACUAUCGCAGUGCCUUUGAUACUGAUGGGCUUGAAUGAACUAGAGGUAGGCGGAAUGAGACAAGUAGCGGUGAAAUGCAUAGAUAUGUCUCAGAACACCGAUUGCGAAGGCAGCUUACUAUGGUUUUAUUGACGCUGAGGCACGAAAGCGUGGGAUCAACGG